GGAAAGAUUUUUGCCCACUCAGAGAUGAUCUCUGAGCUCUUGGGAGAGUGGCGUCUAAUGGCCCAAGGCCACAUGGCUAGAGCCACCUGACCUCACUGGUGCUGAUGGUGCUGUGCUGAGCCACAGGCUGUGCUAAGUGCUCUGUGUACAUUAUCUCUUUUUGUUGUUGUUUGAAACAGGGUCUCACUCUGUUGCCCAGGCUGGAGUGCAGUGGUGUGAGGGAACUGGCACAGAGAGGACAUGACAUCAGCCCAAGGUCACAGAGAAAGAUGAGCAGAGCCAGAGUUAACCCCAGCUGGCUUCCAGAAAUGUCUUCCCAUCCUCCUGGGAUCCUUAGUUGGGAAGAUGUGUAGGAUGGAGUCCUCCUUCUUGCAUCGAGAGGAGUAGGAUCGAGUCCUCUUUUUUGCAUCAGGAGGCCCAGGGGUUGCUGAGCAGAUGCUUGCAUGAAGUGACUAGUAUGUGCCAACCUGAGAAUCCCUGAGACAGUGUUUGAAUCCCUGAGACAGUGACUUUUCCGGGCGGUUGUGGGCUACCAGAGUAAGGCCACCAGGGUGGGGAAUUGUUGCUAAUGAUACCCUCUCUUCCCCUCUUGAGUUUGGAUCCUCAGAGA
rnacentral:lncRNA from 10 species